rnacentral:rRNA from 1 species
UACGUAGGGGGCUAGCGUUGUCCGGAAUCAUUGGGCGUAAAGCGCGUGUAGGCGGUCCGGUAAGUCCGCUGUGAAAGUCGGGGGCUCAACCCUCGGAUGCCGGUGGAUACUGUCGGGCUUGAGUACGGAAGAGGCGAGUGGAAUUCCUGGUGUAGCGGUGAAAUGCGUAGAGAUCAGGAGGAACACCCGUGGCGAAGGCGGCACUCUGGGUCGGUCCUGACGCUGAGGCGCGAAAGCGUGGGGAGCGAACGGG